AAUGCGACUAUCACCUCAGCGUUGUCAAUCUGUUACUCUUGUAUUAAUCGAUCUAUUAUUAAGGUAAAGAACAUUAAUACGACUGUCACCUCAGCGUCACCCUUGUCAAUCUAUUAAUCUCCUGUAUUAAUCGAUCUAUUAUUAAGGUUAAGGACACUAAUACGACUAUCACCUCAGCGUCACCCUUGUCAAUCUAUUAAUCUCCUGUAUUAAUCGAUCUAUUAUUAAGGUUAAGGACACUAAUACGACUAUCACCUCAGCGUCACCCUUGUCAAUCUAUUAAUCUCCUGUAUUAAUCGAUCUAUUAUUAAGGUUAAGGACACUAAUGCGACUAUCACCUCAGCGUCACCCUUGUCAAUCUAUUAAUCUCCUGUAUUAAUCGAUCUAUUAUUAAGGUAAAGAACAUUAAUACGACUAUCACCUCAGCGUCACCCUUGUCAAUCUAUUAAUCUCCUGUAUUAAUCGAUCUAUUAUUAAGGUUAAGGACACUAAUACGACUAUCACCUCAGCGUCACCC